rnacentral:rRNA from 1 species
UACAGAGGUGCCGAGCGUUAGGCGGAAUCACUGGGCUUAAAGCGCGUGUAGGCGGGUCGUUAAGUGUCCGCGUGAAAUCCCACGGCUCAACCGUGGAACUGCCGGGCAUACUGGCGACCUUGAGGCACUUAGGGGCGAGCGGAACAAAUGGUGGAGCGGUGAAAUGCGUAGAUAUGCGGAGGAACACCGAUGGCGAAGGCAAUCCCCUGGGCCUGCACUGACGCUCAUGCACGAAAGCGUGGGGAGCAAACAGG